AACAUGAACCAAACUCAAAACAAUAAUUUGGGGCACGCUUGGGAAACAACCACAGAAAGAGGCGUGUGUAAAAGGAAACGCGUGGGUUGUGUGAGAGUAAUUCCACCGAGAAGAGAAAAAGAGAUACCGGUCAAUCUCUUCCACACAUGCACUGUUUACGUCUCUACCAUGAACGCACGCGCGCGCGCACUCUCUCUCUCUCUCCCUCAGCUGAAAUACUACUGUCCAUCUAUCUAUUUGAGAAGUACGAAGAACCCAUUUUGUUGGAUUGCAUUUACAAUACAGUCUGAAUUAUUGCUCUACUAUCUAUCAACUCAUAUUCAACUUUACUAAUCUCAAGGGGCUGUCAGAUACUGCAUUGACAAGGUGCUGCUAAUUUUGGCGGAAGUUAGGAGAAGGGGCUUCUAAAUUUUUAUUUUUUGGGUUAUUUGAAGGUAAAGAGUUGCUGAUGAGUCAUUUUGGGUGUGGGUUUGUCUCAUAGCAGUUAUGGGUUGUGUUUAUUCAAGAGCUUGCAUUGGGGAGAUUUGUGCACCAAGGAAUGUGGAUGUUAAAGAACCUGAAAAUGUGAAAGCUGCUGAAAUUGCUGUAUUUUCACCUGCUUCAUCAGAUGGGGAAGAUGGAGAAAUUAGAGAUCAACUUAAUCAAUUAAGCCUAUCUAGGGACAAUGAUAUUGGUAUAACCAGACUCUCAAGAGUCUCUGCACAAUUUUUACCACCUGAUGGUUCGCGGGUUGUAAAAGUUCCGUCAGGGAAUUAUGAACUACGAUGUUCCUUUCUAUCUCAAAGGGGGUACUAUCCCGAUGCCCUUGAUAAAGCUAAUCAAGAUAGUUUUUGCAUUCAUACUCCAUUUGGAACAAGUCCAGAUGAUCAUUUCUUUGGUGUUUUUGAUGGCCACGGAGAGUAUGGAGCUCAAUGCUCUCAGUUCACGAAAAAGAAACUUUGUGAAAAUUUGCUUAGGAACAGUAAAUUUCAUUUAGAUGCUGUGGAGGCAUGUCAUGCAGCAUUCUUGAUGACCAAUUCGCAGUUGCACGCUGAUGAUAUAGAUGAUAGCAUGAGCGGAACAACUGCAAUAACUAUACUCAUACGAGGUAGGACACUUUAUGUUGCUAAUACCGGUGAUUCAAGAGCUGUUAUAGCCGAGAGACGGGGUAACGAAGUCGUGGCUGUUGACCUUUCAACCGACCAAACUCCAUUUCGGCCUGAUGAGUUUGAGCGGGUUAAGCUCUGUGGAGCAAGAGUUCUUACAUUGGAUCAGAUUGAAGGAUUGAAGAAUCCAGACGUGCAAUGUUGGGACACUGAAGAAUGCGAUGAUGGUGAUCCUCCUAGGUUGUGGGUGCCAAAUGGGAUGUAUCCUGGUACGGCUUUUACAAGAAGUAUAGGUGAUUCUGUCGCUGAGACAAUUGGUGUUGUUGCAAAUCCUGAAAUUGUUGUUUUGGAGCUCACCUCAGAUCAUCCUUUCUUUGUGAUUGCCAGUGAUGGGGUAUUUGAGUUUCUUUCUAGCCAAACUGUGGUGGACAUGGUUGCAAAGUAUAAGGAUCCGCGUGAUGCUUGUGCUGCAAUUGUUGCUGAGUCAUACCGUCUUUGGCUACAGUAUGAAACUCGCACAGAUGAUAUUACCGUGAUAGUUGUACAAGUAAAUGGAUUGACUAAUGUUGCGGUUGGUCAAUCAACAAGUUCUGAUGUAGUUUUACGACCACCAUUGCCUCAGGUUGUAGAAUUAUGUGGAUCAGAAUCUCCAUCAGUUAUGAACUGGAAUUCUAGGAUUCAACGUGCCAGACAAGAUAUAUCACGGGCACGACUGCGUGCUAUUGAAAGUUCCUUAGAGAAUGGGCAGACAUGGGUUGCCUCAUCUCCAGCCCAUAGGAAGACAUGGGAAGAAGAAGCACAGAUUGAGCGGGUUUUGCAUGAUCAUUUUCUUUUUAGAAAGCUUACAGAUUCUCAAUGCCAAGUUUUGUUGGAUUGUAUGCAAAGAGUUGAGGUUCAAGAUGGAGACAUUGUAGUCAAACAGGGUGGAGAAUGUGACUCUUUCUAUGUCGUUGGAAGUGGGGAAUUUGAGGUCUUAGCAACGCAGUAUGAGAAAGAUGGAGAAGUUCCUAGGGUUCUUCAGCACUACACGGCUGAUAAGCUGUCAUCCUUUGGGGAGCUGGCUCUGAUGUAUAACAAACCACUCCAAGCUUCUGUUCGUGCUGUCACCAAUGGAAUUUUGUGGGAACUUAAACGAGAAGAUUUUAGAGGAAUUCUUAUGUCAGAGUUUUCUAAUUUGUCUUCAUUGAAGCUUCUGCGUUCUGUAGAUCUUCUAUCAAGAUUGACAAUUUUACAACUAAGUCAUAUUGCAGAUAUGGUUUCAGAAGUUCCCUUUUCUGAUGGACAGACAAUAGCAAAUGAGAAACAGGAACCUUUGGGCCUAUACAUUAUCCAGAAAGGGGUUGUAAAAAUUACGUUUGACAUGGAUCUAGUAAAAUUUGAAAAUGCAUCAAGUCUCAUUUGUGAAAACCAAAAGCUGGAUGAUAUACAGAACAAAAAAUGCGCAACAGUUGAAAAGAGUGAAGGGAGCUACUUUGGGGAAUGGACCCUUCUUGGGGAACACAUUGCCUCUUUGAGUGUUACUGCUGUGGGUGAUGUGGUAUGCGCUGUCUUAACCAAGAAGAAGUUUGAUUCAGUUGUGGGUCCUUGGUCAAAGCUCUCACAGGAUGACCUUAGGGCAAAGGGUGAUCAAACAAUUCUCUCUUCAGAAUCUGUCCAAAGCCUUGACCCUUUGAUGCUUGCAAGUUUGCAGCUUGCUGAUUUGGAGUGGCAGACUUGCUUAUACUCAACGGACUGCAGUGAGAUCGGCCUAGUGCGUCUGAGAGACUCAGAUAAACUGCUUAGCUUGAAGAGGUUUUCGAAGCAGAAAAUUAAAAUGCUUGGGAAAGAAGCACAAGUAUUAAAAGAGAAGAAUCUAUUGAAGCAAAUGAAUACAGUAGCUUCAGUACCUCAAGUUUUAUGUACUUGUGCUGAUGAAACGCAUGCUGGCAUAGUUCUGGACACAUGCUUGGCUUGCUCUGUUGUAGCAAUACUUCACAGCCCCCUUGAUGAGGAGUCGGCACGUUUCUGUGUUGCAUCUGUUGUCAUUGCUCUGGAUGACUUGCACAAAAAUGGCAUACUUUACAGAGGUGUUUCACCUGACGUACUAAUGUUAGACCAAACUGGCCAUAUUCAGCUUGUGGAAUUCAGAUUUGCUAAGAAGAUUUCUUCUGAGUUGGAUGAGAGGACAUUUACCAUAUGCGGAAUGGCAGAUUCUCUAGCUCCAGAAAUAGUCCAAGGGAAAGGCCAUGGCUUUGCGGCUGACUGGUGGGCAUUGGGAACAUUGAUCUACUUUAUGCUACAAGGUGAAAUGCCAUUUGGAUCAUGGAGAGAGAGUGAGCUUACAUUUCCAAGGAUUGCUAAAGGACAGUUGACACUUCCACAUGCAUUCAGCCAAGAAGCUGUUGAUCUCGUUACCAAGUUACUUCAAGUUGAUGAAAAGCUGAGACUCGGUAGCCAAGGUGUUGACUCUCUCAAAAGUCAUCCCUGGUUUCUUGGUGUUGAUUGGAAAGCAGUAGCAGAUCAUCGAAGUCCUGUUCCUGCAGAGAUUCUCUCCCGUAUAAGUCAACGCUUGGAAAAUCAUGGUGAUGAGAACAUAGUUUCCUUACAUUCCCCUAUUCAUGACUUGGAGGAGCUUAAUACUCCAGAGUGGCUUCAAAACUGGUAGCGUGUUUUUAUUGGAGUUCGGCCCAUCACAUUCCAGGAUGCUGCUACCAGCAAAAUUGCCCAGCUUAUUAUUUCAUGACUCUCCCUAUUGGAGACUCAAUUCAAAUGAACUGAGUGAGGUGGUGCAUCUAGAUCAUGUUCUCCUGUUCAUCAACCAUGUGACCCUCCUAGAGGGAAAAUGUCGUGCUGCUUUCCUGGACAUUCAUUUUCUUGUGCUAGAGCUGCGUUCUCCUGCAAAUGGAAUGGGUCCUUCUUUUUGGUGCUGAAAUGAGGGUUUUAGGUCCCUGAGUCAGAUUGCUUAUCUAAAUGUGGAAGGUAGUGAGAUAAAGGCUGCUCGGACCCACCAUUUUUGGAGAUAUAGUUUGCUUCUCAGGUGUAUUGGUUAGGUCAAACUCACUCAACCCUUCCACAUUACAUGAAGUACACUUUUGAUGGCCGAAUCUGUAUAGGCUAGGUAGCUCUUGACCAUAGAUUGUACAUAGGUACUUGUAAGCUAAUUUAACUCUGUUAACUAUAACUGUAGCCUUCAGACUCUUCAUCUUUUUUUUCAGUGUCAAUCUCGUAUGCAUGGACACUGUAACUUAUCAUUGUUAAGGAUUUUCUUACCUUUGACAUGUAAUUGCUGAAAUAUUGUUAUACUAAAUCCACCAUUAUCAAUUGCUAUG